UCCGGUGGCUAUAGCGGAGGGGUCACACCUGGUUCCAUUCCGAACCCAGAAGUUAAGCCCUCCAGCGCCGAUGGUACUGCCUGGGAGACUGGGUGGGAGAGUAGGUCGCCGCCGGGA
rnacentral:rRNA from 1 species